CCGAGCCUCCCCUGCUCGCCGGCAAGGGCAGAACCUUCCUGCGAAGCUGUGCUGCCCCAGCAGAGCUGUCCUUCCUGAGCCGGGGGAAACGUGCAGCCCAAAGCUUGCCGAGUGGCUGCGCUUCCCCAGCAGUAGUGCGUAUGGGGGCCCCCCUGAGCUGCCUCUGACCCCUUCUAGUUCUCCACCUCUGUCCCAGCACAUCUGUCAGCUUGUCCUCUGCCAAGCCCCACUGGCCAGCGGGGACAUCCCCUGUCCAGCCGAGGGCUGAGCGAGGCGCCCCGCUGCUCCGCGCCGGGUCCAUGAGCCGGGCAGGACCUUGCCCUUCGCAGCCGGGGCCGCGGCACCCCCACGUCGCUGCGCUGCACGGGAAGCCCCCCCAGCACCCGACACGGAGCCGGAGCCACCGAGGUCUGCUGCCACGUGCAUGAGCGGGAGGCAGAGGAGCGGCCAAAGCCCAGCGCGCCCCUGGCACCUGAUCCCCCCGCGUCCUGCCUUCAUCUGACCCGGGAGGAUGGGGAAGGAGGAGGGUGCCCUGGCUGUGCGCAUGUGCCACAGCUUUUGGGAGCUCCGGUGACGCUGCCCGGCCCAAGCAGAUCCGGACAAGAUGUUCCAGAGGCUGCUGCCGCUUGUUCUUGCGGCGACGGGGGCUGUUCCUGACAAAAGCGCAUCUACAGCAGCCCUGCAAGUUUGCAGACCUGCCUGCGUUUUGCUGAGUUGUUCGUUUGGGACAGAAAAAUGGAAAAAACAGAAAAUGUCCAAGGGUUUCACUUAGCUUUUUUCCUCUGUGAUGUUAAUUGUCAUUUUCUUUUACAGAGGAAAUUUCGGUUGUAAAGUUCCUUGACUUUUGACUUAAAGAAAUGGGAAAAUCCUUAGAAAUAUCCAGAUUUAAAGUGGAAUGUUAUUGCCCUUCUCUGCCUUUUAGAUUCACUGGCACUUAAAGGAAAAUGCUUUCUUCUGUUAAGCUAAUUCUUACCCAAUUGUCAAAAACACGGAAAAAAAAAUAA
rnacentral:lncRNA from 1 species